ensembl:lncRNA
UCCUCUAUCUUCUGCUGGCGCUCCUGUCCUCCGCAGGUGCUCGCUGUCCUCCAAUGGCACUCCACUUCUAUCCUCUGACAGCGCGCUAGUAACCUCCGCAGGUGUGCUUCCUCUAAUCUCCGCCGGCGCGCUGCAUCUAUACUCCGAUGGCGCUCCCGUCCGCCGCAGGCGCUCCCUGUUCUCUGCAGAUGCUCCCGUCCUCUGCAGGCGCUCGCUGUCCUCUGCUGGUGCUCCACAUCUAUCCUCCAAUGGCACACAACCUGUAACCUCCGCCAGGGUGCUACCUCUUAUCCUCUGCUGGCGCGCUACCUCUAUCUUCUGACGGUGCUCUGUCCUCGGCAGGCGCUCCCUAUUCUCCGCAGGUGCUCCCGUCCUCUACAGGUGCUUGCCGCCCUCAGCAGGUGCUCCACCUCUAUCUUCUGGAAGCGCGCUAUCUCUAAACUCCACUGACGCGCUACCUCUAUCGUCUGACGGUGCUCCCAUUCUCUGCAGACGUUCCCUGUUCUCCGCAGGUGCUCCCAUCCUCCACAGAUGCUCCAUCACUAUCAUCCAAUGGCGCGCUACCUCUAUCUUCUGACAGUGCUCCUGUCAUCCGCCGGCACUCCCUGUUCUCCUCAACUACUCCCGUCCUCCGCAAAUGCUCCACAUCUAUCCUCCGACGGCGCACUAUCUGUAACCUCCACCAGUGUCCUACCUCCUAUCUUCUGCUGGCGCUCUACCUCUAUCCACUGGCGGCACACUACGUCUAUCCGUUGCUGGUGUGUUACCGCUAAACUCAGCCAGCGAGAUACCUCUAUCUUCUAACGGCGCUCCAGUCCUCCGCAGGUGCUUCCUGUUUUCCUCAGGUGCUCUCGUCCUCUGCAGGCACUCGCUGUCCUCCACAGGCACUCCACCUCUAUCAUCUGACAGAACACUACAUCCAACCUCGGCCGGUGCACUACAUCCAUCCUCCAAUGGCACGCUACCUCUAACCUCCGCUGGCGUGCUACCUCUAUCUUCUGACGGUGCUCCCAUCCCCCACAGGUGCCGCACCUCUUUCCUCUGCUGGCGCACUUCCUCAAUCCUCUGCCGGUGCACUACCUCUACACUCUGAUGAUGUUCCCAUACUGUGCAGGCAAUCCCUGUUCUCCGCAGGUGCUCCUGUCCUCUACAGGCGCUCACCGUCCUCUGCAGGCAAUCCACCUCAAUCUUCUGAAGGCAUGCUAUUGCAAAACUCAGCCAGCGAAUUACUUCUAUUUUCUUACGGCGCUCCCAUCGUCCGCAGGCGCUCCCUGUUCUACGCAGGUGCUCCCAUCCUCCGUAGAAACUCCACCUCUAUCAUCGGAUGGCGAAACAGAACCUCCACCUUGAUGCUCCGACAGCACACUACCGGUAACCUCCGCCUGUGCACCUCUUCUACCUCUAUCUUCUGAUUGCGCUCCUGUCAUUUGCAGGCACACCUUGUUCUCUGCAGGUGCUCCCGUACUCCGUAGAAACUCCACCUCUAUCAUCGGAUGGCGCACUACAUCUAACCUCUGCCAGCAAACAAACUCUGUUUUCUGACGGCGAUCCCAUCCUCCGCAAUCACUCCCUGUUCUCCACAGGUGCUCCUUUCAUCCACCGACAUUCUACCUCUAUCCACGAACAGCGCACUACCUCUAACCUCCGAUAGCGCGCUAACUCUUAUCCUCUGCCAGGAUGCUACUGCUAACCUCCGACAGCGCACGACCUCUAUCUUCAGAUGGUGCUCCCGUCAUCUGCAGGUGCUCCCUGUUUUCCGCAGGUGCUCCUGUCCUCGGCAGAUGCUCCACCUCUAUCCCGUGAUGGCACACUACAUAUAACCUCUGCCGGCGCACUAAUUCUGUCUUCUGACGGCGCUCCUGUCCUCCACAGUCACUCCCUGUUCACCACAGGUGCUCCCAUCCUCCGCAGACCCUCAACGUCGAUCCAGUGACAGAGCACUACCUCUAACCUCUGCCAGCAUGCUACCUCUUUCUUCUGACAGCGCACCCAUCAUCUGCAGGCGCUCCUUGUUCUCCACAGGUGCUCCUGUCCUCUGCAGAUGCUCCACCUUUAUCCUCUGAUGAUGCACUACAUCUAACCUCUGCCGGCGCACUAACUAUGCCUUCUGACAGUGCUCCCGUCCUCCAGAGGUGCUCCCUGUUCUCCGCAGGUGCUACGAUCCUCCGCAGACCCUCCACCUCGAUCCUCUGAUGGCACACUACCUCUAACCUCUGCCGGCGCACUACCUCUAUCUUCUAACCACGCUCCCAUCAUCUGCAAGCAGUCUCUGUUCUCCGCAGAUGCUCUCGUCCUCCGCAAACGCUCCAACUCGAUCCUCUGAUGAUGCACUACAUGUAACCUCUGCCGGCGCACUAACUCUGUCUUCUGAUGGUGCUCCUGUCCUUGGCAAUCGCUUCCUGUUCUCCGCAGGUGCUCCCAUCCUCCGCAGAAGUUCCAGCUCUAUCCUCUGAGAGUGCACUACCUCUAUCUUCUGCCGGGGCACUAACUAUGCAUUCUGACAGUGCUGCCAUCAUCUACAGAUGUUCUGUGUUCUCUGCAGGUAACCCCAUCAACCACAGGUGCUUUACAUCUAUCCUCUGAAGGCACACUACAUCUAACCUCUGCCGGCGCACUAACUAUGCCUGCUGACAGCACUCCUGUCCUCCGCAGGUGCUCCCUGUUCUCAUGAGGUACUCCGAUCCUCCGCAGACACUCCACCUUGAUCCUCUGAUGGCACACUACCUCUAACCUCUGCUGGCACAAUACCUAUAUCUUCUAACCACGCUCCCAUCAUCUGUAAGCAGUCUCUGUUCUCCACAGAUGGUCUUGUCCUCCGCAGACGCUCCAACUCGAUCCUCUGAUGAUGCACUACAUCUAACCUCUGCCGGCGCACUAUGUCUUCUGACAGCGCUCCUGUCCUCCGCAGGUGCUCCCUGUUCUCCUCAGGUGCUCCGAUACUCCGCAGACCCUCCACCUCGAUCCUCUGAUGGCACACUACCUCCAACCUCUGCUGGCACACUACCUCUACCUUCUGACAAUACUCCCAACAUCUGCAGGCAGCCUCUGUUCUCCGCAGAUGCUCUUGUCCUCUGUAGACGCUCCACCUCUAACCUCUGAUGAUGCACUACAUCUAACCUCUGCUGGUGCACUAACUCUGUCUUCUGAUGGCGCUCCUGUCCUUGCCAAUCGCUUCCUGUUCUCUGCAGUUGCUCCCGUCCUCCGCAGAUGCUCCAUCUAUAUCCUCUGAAGGCACACUACAUCUAACCUCUGCCGGCGCACUAACUAUGUCUUCUGACAGCACUCCUGUCCUCCACAGCUGCUCCCUGUUCGCUGCAGGUGCUCCCAUCCUUCGCAGACCCUCCACCUCGAUCCUCUGAUGGCACACUACCUCUAACCUCUGCUGGCACACUACCUCUAUCUUCUAACCACGCUCCCAUCAUUUGCAAGCAGCCUCUGUUCUCCGCAGAUGCUCUUGUCCUCUGUAGACGCUCCACCUCUAUCCUCUGAUGAUGCACUACAUCUAACCUCUGCUGGCGCACUAACUCUGUCUUCUGAUGGUGCUCCUGUCCUUGGCAAUCGCUUCCUGUUCUCCGCAGGUGCUCCUAUCCUCCACAGAUGCUCCACCUCUAUUUUCUGAAGGCACACUACAUCUAACCUCUGCUGACGCACUAACUAUGCCUUCUGACAGCACUCCUGUCCUCCGCAGGUGCUCCCUGUUCUCCUGAGGUACUCCGAUCCUAGGCAGACCCUCCACCUUGAUCCUCUAAUGGCACACUACAUCUAACCUCUGCUGGCACACUACCUCUAUCUUCUAACCACGCUCCCAUCAUCUGCAUGCCGUCUGUGUUCUCCGCAGCUGCUCUUGUUCUCCGCAGACGCUCCAACUCGAUCCUCUGAUGAUGCACUACAUCUAACCUCUGCUGGCGCACUAACUCUGUCUUCUGAUGGUGCUGCUGUCCUUGGCAAUCACUUCCUGUUCUCCACAGGUGCUCCUAUCCUCCGCAGAUGCUCCACCUAUAUCCUCUGAAGGCACACUACAUCUAACCUCUGCUGGCGCACUAACUGACUUCUGACAGCACUCCUGUCCUCCACAGCUGCUCCCUGUUCUCCACAAAUGCUCCCGUCCUCCCCAGACGCUCCACCUCGAUCCUCCGACAGCGCACUACCUCUAUCUUCUGACAACACUCCCGUCAUCUGCAGGCACUCCUUGAUCUCUGUAGGUGUUCCCGUCCUCUGCCGAUGCUCCACCUCAAUCCUCUGAUGAUGCACUACAUCUAACCUCUGCCGGCGCACUAACUCUGUCUUCUGAUGGUGCUCCCAUCCUUGGCAAUCGCUUCCUCUUCUCUGCAGGUGCUCCUAUCCUCUGCAUAAGUUCUAGCUCUAUCCUCUGACAGCGCAGUACCUCUAACCUCUGCUGGUGCACUAACUAUGCAUUCCGACAGUGCUCCCAUCAUCUGCAGGUGUUCUGUGUCCUCUGCAGGUACCCCCAUCCUCCACAGGUGCUCUACCUCUAUCCUCUGAUGGCACACUACCUCUAACCUCUGCUGGCGCACUACCUCUAUCUUCUGACAACGCUCCCAUCAUCUGCCAGCGCUCUGUGUUCUCUGCAGGUGCUCCCAUCCUCCACAGAUGCUCCAUCUACAUCCUCUGAAGUCACACUACAUCUAACCUCUGCCGGCGCACUAACUAUGCCUUCUGACAGCACUCCUGUCCUCCACGGGUGCUCCCUGUUGGUAGCAGGUGCUCCCAUCCACCGCAGACUCUCCACCUCGAUCCUCUGAUGUCACUCUGUCUCUAACCUCUGCUGGCGCACUACCUCUAUCUUCUAACCACGCUCCCAUCAUCUGCAAGCAGUCUCUGUUCCCCGCAGGUGCUCCUGUCCUCCCCAGACGCUCCACCUAGAUCCUCCGACAGCGCACUACAUCUAACCUCUGCCAGCUCACUAACUAUACCUUCUGACAGCACUCCCAUCCUCCGCACGUGCUCCCUCUUGUCCGCAAAUGCUCCCGUCCUCCCCAGACGCUCCACCUCGAUUCUCCGACAGCGCACUACCUCUAACCUCUGCCGGCGCGCUACCUCUGUCUUCUGACAACACUCCUGUCAUCUGCAGGCACUCCUUGAUCUCUGUAGGUUUUCCCGUCGUCUGCCUAUGCUCCACCUAUAUCCUCUGAUGAUGCACUACAUCUAACCUCUGCUGGUGCACUAACUACGCAUUCCGACAGUGCUCCCAUCAUCUCCAGGUGUUCUGUGUUCUCUGCAGGUACCCCCAUCCUCCACAGGUGCUCUACCUAUGUCCUCUGAAGGCACACUACCUCUAACCUCUGCCGGCGCACUAACUAUGCCUUCUGACAGCGCUCCCAUCCUCCGCAGGUGCUCCCUGUUGUCCUCAGGUGGUCCGAUACUCCGCAGACCCUCCACCUCAAUCCUCUGAUGGCACACUACCUCUAACCUCUGCUGGCGCACUAACUAUGCCUUCUGACAGCACUCCUGUCCUCCACAGGUGCUCCCAUCCACCCCAGACCCUCCACCUCGAUCCUCUGAUGGCACACUACCUCUAACCUCUGCCGGUUCACUAGCUAUUCCUUCUGACAGCACUCCCGUUCUUCGCAGUCAGUCCCUGCUUGCCGCAGGUGCUCCCGUCCUCUGCAGACCCUCCACCUCAAUCCUCCAACAGCACACUACCUCUAACCUCUGCCUGCAAGCUACCUCUAUCUUCAGAUCAUGCUUCCAUCAUCUGCAGGCACUCCUUGAUCUCCACAGAUGUUCCCAUCCUCCCCACAUCUUGCACUUCGAUCCUGUGACAGCGCACUACCUGUAACCACUGCCAGUGUGCUACCUCUAUCUUCUGUUCGCGCUCCCGUCAUCUGCAGACACUCUUUGUUCUCCACAGGUGCUCCCGUCCUCCACAGACUCUUCACCUCUAUCCCGUGAUGGCACACUGCAUCUAAACUCUGCCAGCUCACUAACUCUGUCUUCCAACAGCGCUCCCGUCCUGCACAGGCUCUCCAUGUUCUCUGCAGGUGAUCUCAUCCUCCCCAGACCCUCCACCUCGAUCCUCUGAUGGGGCACUACAUCUAACCUCUGCCAGCGCACUACCUCUAUCUUCUGAAAACACUCCCAUCAUCUGCAGGCCUUCUGUGUUCUCUGCAGAUGCUCCUGUCCUCUGCAGAUGCUCCACCUAUAUCUUCUGAUGGCACACUACAUCUAACCUCUGCCAGCGCACUAAAUCUGUCUUAUGACGGCACUCCUGUCCUCUACAAUUACUUCCAGUUCCCUGCAGGUGCUCUUUUCCUCCGCAGACAUUCCACCUCUAUCCUCCAACAGCGCACUACAUCUAACCUCUGCCAGUGCACUAAUUCUGUUUUCUGCCGGUGUUCCCGUCCUCUGCAGUCACUCCCUGUUCUCCGCAGGUUCUCCUGUUCUCUGCAGACCCACUACUUUGAUCCUCCAACAGUGCACUACCUCUAACCUCUGCCGGCAAGCUACCUCUAUCUUCUGAUUGUGCUCCCAUCAUCUGCAGGCACUCCUUGUUCUCCGCAGGUCCUCUUUUUCUCCGCAUACGUUACACCUCUAUCAUCUGACAGUGCACUACCUCUAACCUUUGCCGGCGUGCUACCUCUUAUCCUCUGCUGGUGUGUUACCUCUAAUCUCUGCUGGUGCUACCUUUGUCUUCUGACUGAGCUCCCGUCCCCCGUAGGUGCUCCCUGUUUUCUUCAGGUGCUCCUGUCCUCCACAGACCAUCCACCUCUGUCCUCCAAUGGUGCACUACCUCUAACCUCUGCUGGCGCACUACCUCUAUAUUCUGACGGUGCUCCUGUCCUCUGCAAGCGCUCCCUGUUCCCCACAGGUGCUCCCUGUCCUCCGCAGGUACUCCACCUCUAUUCUCUGAUGGCACACUACAUCUAACCUCCACCGGCGUGCUACCUCUAUCUUCUGACGGUGCUCCCAUCCUCUGCUGGCGCUCCCUGUUCUCUGCAGGUGCUUUCAUUCUCCACAGACACUCCACCUCUAUCUUCCAAUGUCGCACUACAUCUAACCUCUGCUGGCGCACUACCUCUAUCUUCUGAUGGCUCUCCCAUCCCCCGCAGCUGUUGCACCUCUUUCCUCUGCUAGCACACUACCUCUAACCUUUGCCAGCGCACAACUACUAUCCUCUGACGACGUUCCUGUCCUCUGCAGGCACUCCCCAUCUCCUCAGGUGUUCCCGUCCUCUGCAAACCCUCCACCUUUAUCCUCCAAUGGUGCACUACCUCUAACCUCUACCGACGCACUACCUCUGUCUUCUGACAGUGCUCCCAUCCUCCACAGAUGCUCCACCUCUAUCUUCUGACAGCGCACUACCUCUAACCUCCGCCGGCGCACUACCUGUAUUCUCCGACGGCACUGUGUCCUCCGCAAACCCUCCUUCUUCUCUGCAGGUACUCCCAUCAUCCGCAGGUGCUCCCUUGCUCUGCAGGCACUCGCCAUCCUCCGCAGGCGCUCCCUGUUCCUGUAUAUGAUGUGUUUGAUUAUUAAUUGCAGUAUUCCAGUUUAGCUGGGAAAUAAGAAUCUACAGUACAAGUUAUUGAGGGAUUACAUUUUUAGGCAUAUAUUUGAGGCACUUGAGUAUCAGGGAG